UACGGGGGGAGCAAGCGUUGUUCGGAUUUACUGGGCGUAAAGGGCGCGUAGGCGGUCAGCACAAGUCAGUUGUGAAAUCUCCGGGCUUAACUCGGAAAGGUCAACUGAUACUGUGCGACUAGAGUGCAGAAGGGGCAACUGGAAUUCUCGGUGUAGCGGUGAAAUGCGUAGAUAUCGAGAGGAACACCUGCGGCGAAGGCGGGUUGCUGGGCUGACACUGACGCUGAGGCGCGGAAAGCCAGGGGAGCGAACGGG
rnacentral:rRNA from 1 species